CCUACGGGAGGCAGCAGUGAGGAAUAUUGGUCAAUGGGCUUACGCCUGAACCAGCCAAGUCGCGUGAGGGAAGACUGCCCUAUGGGUUGUAAACCUCUUUUGUCAGGGAGCAACGCCGGCUACGUGUAGCCGGACUGAGAGUACCUGAAGGAAAAGCAUCGGCUAACUCCGUGCCAGCAGCCGCGGUAAUACGGAGGAUGCGAGCGUUAUCCGGAUUUAUUGGGUUAAAGGGGUGCGUAGGCGGAAUGCCAAGUCAGCGGUAAAAGCGCGGGGCUCAACCUCGCUCCGCCGUUGAAAAUGGCGUUCUUGAUGGGGCGAGAAGUAUGCGGAAUGCGUGGUGUAGCGGUGAAAUGCAUAGAUAUCACGCAGAACUCCGAUUGCGAAGGCAGCAUACCGGCGCCCAACUGACGCUGAAGCACGAAAGCGUGGGUAUCGAACAGGAUUAGAUACCCGGGUAGUC
rnacentral:rRNA from 1 species